AGAGCUCAUGUGAUCCGUCACAUGACAGCAGAUCUGCGGAAGGGCAGAAUGGGACUCCAAGCCUGCCUCCUAGGGCUCUUUGCCCUCAUCCUCUCUGGCAAAUGCAGCUACAGCCCGGAGCCCGACCAGCGGAGGACGCUGCCCCCAGGCUGGGUGUCCCUGGGCCGUGCGGACCCUGAGGAAGAGCUGAGUCUCACCUUUGCCCUGAGACAGCAGAAUGUGGAAAGACUCUCGGAGCUGGUGCAGGCUGUGUCGGAUCCCAGCUCUCCUCAAUACGGUGCCUUUUGGGACUGAGGACAGGAUGUGGGAUGCAGUGGAGGGACACAGGGCUGGGUUGGGCAUGGGAUGGUGAUCAUGUCAGGGCCUGCCAAGACACUUGUGUUCCUCAGGCUAGAAACCUAAAAGGGGAUGUGGUUCAGUAUACAGGCUUUAUGAUCAAAUAUGAACUCAAAUGCUGACUCUGCUACUUACUAGCUACCAGGCAUCUAGUACAACUUACGUUCCUUCCCCUACCCUCAAAUCCAUUCUAAUUUCCUCUUUUGUUCACAUACUAAGGCUGCCAGUUCUAACUCCCAAAGAGCCUUUGGAUUAAUCUACUUCUUGCUGUCUU
rnacentral:sRNA from 1 species